CCUACGGGGGGCAGCAGUGAGGAAUCUUGGUCAAUGGACGAGAGUCUGAACCAGCCCAGUAGCGUGAAGGAUGACUGCCCUAUGGGUUGUAAACUUCUUUUAUAAAGGAAUAAAACGAGGCACGUGUGCCUUUUUGCAUGUACUUUAUGAAUAAGGAUCGGCUAACUCCGUGCCAGCAGCCGCGGUAAUACGGAGGAUCCGAGCGUUAUCCGGAUUUAUUGGGUUUAAAGGGAGCGUAGAUGGGUUGUUAAGUCAGUUGUGAAAGGUUGCGGCUCAACCGUAAAAUUGCAAUUGAUACUGGCAGUCUUGAGUACAGUUGAGGUAGGCGGAAUUCGUGGUGUAGCGGUGAAAUGCUUAGAUAUCACGAAGAACCCCGAUUGCGAAGGCAGCUUACUAAACUGUGACUGACAUUGAUGCUCGAAAGUGUGGGUAUCAAACAGGAUUAGAUACCCGAGUAGUC
rnacentral:rRNA from 1 species